rnacentral:rRNA from 1 species
AUUGAACGCUGGCGGCAGGCCUAACACAUGCAAGUCGAGCGAGCGGCGGACGGGUGAGUAAUGCCUGGGAAUUGCCCAGUCGAGGGGGAUAACAGUUGGAAACGACUGCUAAUACCGCAUACGAUUGGAUUGCCCAGGUGGGAUUAGCUAGUGGGUGAGGUAAUGGCUCACCAAGGCGACGAUCCCUAGCUGGUCUGAGAGGAGGAUCAGCCAAACUGGAACGGAGACACGGCCCAGACUCCUACGGGAGGCAGCAGUGGGGAAUAUUGGAAAAUGGGGGAAACCCGGAGGCAGCAAGGCCGCGUGGUUGAAGAAGGCCUUCGGGUUGUAAAGCACUUUCAGCGAGGAGGCGUUACUCGCAGAAGAAGCAACGGCUAACUCCGUGCCAGCAGCCGCGGUAAUUC